CUAGGAGGAGCCUUGGUAGACAAAUAUGGAGGAAAAAGAGUGAUGGCAUGGGGCGUGGGGCUGUGGUCUUUGGCCACUCUUCUUACUCCAUGGGCUGCUAACCACUCCACCUUCGGUCUCUUGGCCAUUCGUGCCUUCUUUGGACUUGCUGAGGGUGUAGCUCUGCCUUCCAUGAGCACCCUCUUGUCAAGGUGGUUUCCGAGCCAUGAACGAGCAAGUGCGGUUGGAAUUUCUAUGGCUGGGUUUUAUUCAUCUUGGCAAUGUUAUAGGCUUACUUCUAACUCCAAUUAUGUUAUCAACUAUUGGAAUUUCUGGUCCUUUUAUUCUCUUCGCUUCCCUUGGACUACUGUGGUUAACAACAUGGGCAAGUGGCGUCACGAGUGAUCCACGAGAUAGCCCUUUUAUCAGUAAAUCAGAGUUGCGGUUAAUUCAAGCUGGUAAAACUGAUUCACCAACGAACAAAGGCCAGCUUCCACCACUACGCCUACUAUUCUCAAAACUUCCAACAUGGGCAAUUAUUUUUGCUAAUGUAACUAACAAUUGGGGGUACUUUGUUCUUCUCUCAUGGAUGCCUGUAUAUUUCAAGACAGUUUUUAAUGUAAACUUGAAGCAAGCGGCUUGGUUUAGUGCUGUUCCAUGGGGGACAAUGGCACUUUCUGGUUACAUUGCAGGAGCAGCAUCGGAUUCCUUAAUCAAGGCAGGCUACUCUAUCACAUUAGUCCGAAAGAUAAUGCAGUCUAUUGGUUUCAUUGGACCUGGCGUGUCAUUGCUCUGCUUAAAUUUUGCCAAGACACCAGUGACUGCUUCUAUGUUAAUCACAGCAGCCCUGAGCUUGAGUUCUUUCAGCCAAGCUGGCUUUCUUCUCAAUAUGCAAGACAUAGCACCUCAAUAUGCAGGAUUCCUCCAUGGAAUUGCAAAUUCUGCGGGAACAUUUGCAGCGAU
rnacentral:misc_RNA from 1 species